rnacentral:rRNA from 1 species
UACAUAGAGUGCAAACGUUGUUCGGAAUUACUGGGCUUGAAGCGCACGUAGGCGGCGUUGUAAGUGUCGGGUGAAAUCCCACGGCUCACCCGUGGAACUGCCCGGCAUACUGCGAUGCUAGAGUGUGGUAGGGGAGAGCGGAACUCCUGGUGGAGCGGUGAAAUGCGUAGAUAUCAUCAGGAACACCGGUGGCGAAGGCGGCUUACUGGGUAUCUUCUGACGCUGAGGUACGAAAGCUAGGGGAGCGAACGGG